UCCGGUGUGCUUUGGAAUUGUUGCUGUUCGUUUCACAGACGAGGAGUGGGCGUUGCUGGAUCCUGACCAGAGAGCUCUGCACAAGGACGUCAUGGAGGAGAUUUGUGGGAUCGUGGCCUCUCUUGAUUGUGAUGAACUGGAAAUCGAGAACAAGGGUGACCACAACAAAAUCCCCAGAGAGGAGAAGCCA